rnacentral:rRNA from 1 species
GUCUAUUAUGAAGUUGUUAAUAGUCUGGCCUGCUCCCUGAUUAUAAAUUAAAGAGCCCGCGGUAAUUUGACCGUGCAAAGGUAGCAUAAUCAUUAGUUUCUUAAUUGGGAACUUGUAUGAAAGGUUUGACAAAGAAAAAGCUGUCUUUAUUAUAAAAAUUGAAUUUAACUUUUAAGUGAAAAGGCUUGAAUGAUUUAGAGGGACGAUAAGACCCUAUAAAGCUUUAUAUAAAAAAUAAUUAAGAUUGAAUUUACAAUAAUAUUCUGAAUUAAUUAUAUAUUUUGUUGGGGUGAUAUUAAUAAAAUUAAUAUUAACUGUUAAAAGAAGAUACAUAAAUAAAAGGGUUAAAACUGUUAGUGAUCCUUAUUUAAAGAUUAAAAGAUUAAGUUACUUUAGGGAUAACAGCGUAAUUUUUCUUAAGAGCCCAUAUCGAAAGAAAAGAUUUCGACCUCGAUGUUGAAUUAAGAUAUCUGUGUAGAGUAGCCGUUACAUAAGAAGGUCUGUUCGACCUUUAAAUUUUUACAUGAUUUGAGUUCAGACCGGCGUGAG